rnacentral:rRNA from 1 species
UCCAUGAAGCUGGAUUCGCUAGUAAUCGCGCAUCAGCCACGGCGCGGUGAAUACGUUCCCGGGCCUUGUACACACCGCCCGUCAAGCCAUGGAAGCCGGGGGUGCCUGAAGUGCGCUGCCGCGAGGAGCGCCCUAGGGUAAAACCGGUGACUGGGGCUAAGUCGUAACAAGGUAAC